UAGGGAAUAUUGGGCAAUGGAGGGAACUCUGACCCAGCCAUGCCGCGUGCAGGAUGAAGGCGUUAUGCGUUGUAAACUGCUUUUUAUAUAGGAAGAAAUAGUCCUUGCGAGGAAAGUUGACGGUACUAUAUGAAUAAGCACCGGCUAACUCCGUGCCAGCAGCCGCGGUAAUACGGAGGGUGCAAGCGUUGUCCGGAUUUAUUGGGUUUAAAGGGUGCGUAGGUGGCCCUGUAAGUCAGUGGUGAAAUAUCUCAGCUUAACUGAGAGGGUGCCAUUGAUACUGCAGGGCUUGAGUACAGAUGAGGUAGGCGGAAUUGACGGUGUAGCGGUGAAAUGCAUAGAUAUCGUCAAGAACACCGAUAGCGAAGGCAGCUUACCAAGCUGUAACUGACACUGAGGCACGAAAGUGUGGGGAUCAAACAGGAUUAGAUACCCACGUAGUCCCUGAGCGGGCUGGCAAGGCGCAU
rnacentral:rRNA from 1 species